CCCAGACUCCUACGGGAGGCAGCAGUGGGGAAUAUUGCACAAUGGGGGAAACCCUGGUGCAGCAACGCCGCGUGAGUGAAGAAGUAUUUCGGUAUGUAAAGCUCUAUCAGCAGGGAAGAAGAAAGACGGUACCUGACUAAGAAGCCCCGGCUAACUACGUGCCAGCAGCCGCGGUAAUACGUAGGGGGCAAGCGUUAUCCGGAUUUACUGGGUGUAAAGGGAGCGUAGACGGCUGUGCAAGCCAGAUGUGAAAGCCCGGGGCUCAACCCCGGGACUGCAUUUGGAACUGUGUGGCUGGAGUGUCGGAGAGGCAGGCGGAAUUCCUAGUGUAGUGGUGAAAUGCGUAGAUAUUAGGAGGAACACCAGUGGCGAAGGCGGCCUGCUGGACGAUGACUGACGUUGAGGCUCGAAAGCGUGGGGAGCAAACAGGAUUAGAUACCCUAGUA
rnacentral:rRNA from 1 species